GAAGGGCUGGGAAGGAUGAGCUUCUGAGCAGCCAAACUCUAUUGUUUCCAGGACCUCGUGCUGCAUUUAAAAUGCAAGCAGGGUGAAUACUAGCAACAGCAGGGUGAAUACUACCCCUUUUUAAGUGCUGCUAGGACAAAACCAUAGGAGAGCAUUGACAGAGGUCUUUGGCAGAAGCUGCAGUGAGCCUGGAUGCCUUUGCAGAAAAAGGAGGCAAGCGGUGGGACCUGAACAGCUAAAUGACUUAAUCGGUCUCAGCAGUUGACCACUGUGAUUUGAUGGCCACAUAUGCUCAAACCCCGAGGGAAAAAGAAUGCUUGAGUUAGCAUGGCAGCCACAACUUUUAAAUGCACAAACAACAGCUCUGAAGAAGAAACACAGCUUUGAAUUCUAACUAGCUGCAAUGUAUUUGGAGAGCACCUUCCUUAAACCUCCUCAAGCACAAGGCAAGUAAAAAAGCCCAAGUCCGUCUUUUCAGAAUGGAAUUUAUUUCA